rnacentral:lncRNA from 1 species
ACUUUCUAAUUUUGUUUUUAAAAUAUAUAUACAUUUUUAUAAAAAUAGAAACAAUGAGUGCAUUGAUAAAAAGACAAGGUGUAGUAUAGUGUAGCUUCAAAAGAUAAGAGUAAGUUGUUUCACACCACACUUCACACAUCAAAUAGCAACACAAAAACUCCUUUCACUUUUCUUUAUCAAAAACAAACUUUCCACUCUCUCACACCCUUGUUUACUAAGCAACAUCAUUAUUCAACCCCAUUUCAUUUUAAAAAUUUCAUCAUUCUCAUUGUUCUCACAAAUUCAAGAAGACAAAAAAAAAUGGGAACACUUCACACAAUAGCAACACUAAGAUUGUGUUGCUUCAUAAUUGUGUUGCUAUCUCAAACAGUUACUAUAGCGGUUGGCGAUUUUAUAGAUCAGAAGAAUCUUACAACUAACUCAAAAGAUGAAGUGAAGUGUACGCCGUGUGGUCAAGUUCCAUCUCCG